rnacentral:rRNA from 1 species
UACGAAGGGGGCUAGCGUUGUUCGGAUUUAUUGGGCGUAAAGAGCUUGUAGGUGGCUUGUCGCGUCUGCCGUGAAAACCCGAGGCUCAACCUCGGGCGUGCGGUGGGUACGGGCAGGCUAGAGUGUGGUAGGGGGGACUGGAACUCCUGGUGUAGCGGUGAAAUGCGCAGAUAUCAGGAAGAACACCGAUGGCGAAGGCAGGUCUCUGGGCCAUUACUGACACUGAGAAGCGAAAGCAUGGGGAGCGAACAGG